rnacentral:rRNA from 2 species
AGUCGAGCGGACUGAUGGGAGCUUGCUCCCUGAUGUUAGCGGCGGACGGGUGAGUAACACGUGGGCAACCUACCUGUAAGACUGGGAUAACUCCGGGAAACCGGGGCUAAUACCGGAUAACCCGUUCCUCCUCAUGGAGGGACGGUAAAAGAUGGCUUCUUGCUAUCACUUACAGAUGGGCCCGCGGCGCAUUAGCUAGUUGGUAAGGUAAUGGCUUACCAAGGCGACGAUGCGUAGCCGACCUGAGAGGGUGAUCGGCCACACUGGGACUGAGACACGGCCCAGACUCCUACGGGAGGCAGCAGUAGGGAAUCUUCCGCAAUGGACGAAAGUCUGACGGAGCAACGCCGCGUGAGUGAUGAAGGUUUUCGGAUCGUAAAGCUCUGUUGUUAGGGAAGAACAAGUGCCGUUCGAAUAGGGCGGCACCUUGACGGUACCUAACCAGAAAGCCACGGCUAACUACGUGCCAGCAGCCGCGGAAUACGUAGGUGGCAAGCGUUGUCCGGAAUUAUUGGGCGUAAAGCGCGCGCAGGCGGUCUUUUAAGUCUGAUGUGAAAGCCCACGGCUCAACCGUGGAGGGUCAUUGGAAACUGGGAGACUUGAGUACAGAAGAGGAGAGUGGAAUUCCACGUGUAGCGGUGAAAUGCGUAGAUAUGUGGAGGAACACCAGUGGCGAAGGCGACUCUCUGGUCUGUAACUGACGCUGAGGCGCGAAGCGUGGGAGCAACAGGAUUAGAUACCCUGGUAGUCCACGCCGUAACGAUGAGUGCUAGUGUUAGGGGUUCGAUGCCUUAGUUGCCGAA